rnacentral:rRNA from 1 species
GAUGAACGCUAGCGGCAGGCUUAAUACAUGCAAGUCGAGGGGCAGCAUGAGUGUAGCAAUACAUUUGAUGGCGACCGGCAAACGGGUGCGGAACACGUACACAACCUUCCUUUAAGCGGGGAAUAGCCCGGGGAAACCCGGAUUAAUACCCCAGAGUAUGGUGAAGAGGCAUCUCUUUAUUAUUAAAGAUUUAUAACUUAAAGAUGGGUGUGCGGCUGAUUAGGUAGUUGGCGGGGUAACGGCCCACCAAGCCUACGAUCAGUAACUGGUGUGAGAGCACGACCAGUCACACGGGCACUGAGACACGGGCCCGACUCCUACGGGAGGCAGCAGUAAGGAAUAUUGGUCAAUGGACGAAAGUCUGAACCAGCCAUGCCGCGUGGAGGAUGAAGGUCCUCUGGAUUGUAAACUUCUUUUAUAUGGGACGAAAAAAGGCCUUUCCAGGUUGUCUGACGGUACCAUAUGAAUAAGCACCGGCUAACUCCGUGCCAGCCGCCGCGGUAACAC